CGUGACAAGGGAACUCUGAGUGCCCGUUAAAUCGGGCUGUCCAUCGGUUUAAAUAACCGGUGAAGAAAGGGCCGGGCAAGACCGGUGCCAGCCGCCGCGGUAAUACCGGCGGCUCGAGUGGUGGCCACUAUUACUGGGCUUAAAGCGUUCGUAGCUGGUUUGUUAAGUCUCUGGGGAAAUCUUCCGGCUUAACCGGAAGGCGUCUCAGGGAUACUGGCAGACUAGGGACCGGGAGAGGUGAGAGGUACUCCAGGGGUAGGAGUGAAAUCCUGUAAUCCUUGGGGGACCACCUGUGGCGAAGGCGUCUCACCAGAACGGCUCCGACAGUGAGGGACGAAAGCUGGGGGAGCAAACCGGAUUAGAUACCCGGGUAGUCCCAGCUGUAAACGAUGCGCGUUAGGUGUAUCGGUGACCACGAGUCACCGAGGUGCCGAAGAGAAAUCGUGAAACGUGCCGCCUGGGAAGUACGGUCGCAAGGCUGAAACUUAAAGGAAUUGGCGGGGGAGCAC
rnacentral:rRNA from 1 species